rnacentral:rRNA from 1 species
UACUCCUACGGGAGGCAGCAGUGGGGAAUUUUGGACAAUGGGCGAAAGCCUGAUCCAGCCAUGCCGCGUGCAGGAUGAAGGCCUUCGGGUUGUAAACUGCUUUUGUACGGAACGAAACGGCCUUUUCUAAUAAAGAGGGCUAAUGACGGUACCGUAAGAAUAAGCACCGGCUAACUACGUGCCAGCAGCCGCGGUAAUACGUAGGGUGCAAGCGUUAAUCGGAAUUACUGGGCGUAAAGCGUGCGCAGGCGGUUAUGUAAGACAGUUGUGAAAUCCCCGGGCUCAACCUGGGAACUGCAUCUGUGACUGCAUAGCUAGAGUACGGUAGAGGGGGAUGGAAUUCCGCGUGUAGCAGUGAAAUGCGUAGAUAUGCGGAGGAACACCGAUGGCGAAGGCAAUCCCCUGGACCUGUACUGACGCUCAUGCACGAAAGCGUGGGGAGCAAACAGGAUUAGAUACCCUGGUAGUCCACGCCCUAAACGAUGUCAACUGGUUGUUGGGUCUUCACUGACUCAGUAACGAAGCUAACGCGUGAAGUUGACCGCCUGGGAGUACGGCCGCAAGGUUGAAACUCAA